rnacentral:rRNA from 1 species
GACGAACGCUGGCGGCGUGCUUAACACAUGCAAGUCGAACGGAAAGGCCCUGCUUUUGUGGGGUGCUCGAGUGGCGAACGGGUGAGUAACACGUGAGUAACCUGCCCUUGACUUUGGGAUAACUUCAGGAAACUGGGGCUAAUACCGGAUAGGAGCUCCUGCUGCAUGGUGGGCGUUGGAAAGUUUCGGCUGUUGGGGAUGGACUCGCGGCUUAUCAGCUUGUUGGUGGGGUAGUGGCUUACCAAGGCUUUGACGGGUAGCCGGCCUGAGAGGGUGAACGGCCACAUUGGGACUGAGAUACGGCCCAGACUCCUACGGGAGGCAGCAGGGGGGAAUAUUGCACAAUGGGCGGAAGCCUGAUGAAGAAACGCCGCGUGCGGGAUGACGGCCUUCGGGUUGUAAACCGCUUUCGCCUGUGACGAAGCGGGAGUGACGGUAAUGGGUAAAGAAGCACCGGCUAACUACGUG